UAGGGAAUCUUCCGCAAUGGACGCAAGUCUGACGGAGCAACGCCGCGUGAGUGAAGAAGGUUUUCGGAUCGUAAAACUCUGUUGUUAGAGAAGAACAAGUGCUAGAGUAACUGUUAGCGCCUUGACGGUAUCUAACCAGAAAGCCACGGCUAACUACGUGCCAGCAGCUGCGGUAAUACGUAGGUGGCAAGCGUUGUCCGGAUUUAUUGGGCGUAAAGCGAGCGCAGGCGGUUCCUUAAGUCUGAUGUGAAAGCCCCCGGCUCAACCGGGGAGGGUCAUUGGAAACUGGGGAACUUGAGUGCAGAAGAGGAGAGCGGAAUUCCAUGUGUAGCGGUGAAAUGCGUAGAUAUAUGGAGGAACACCAGUGGCGAAGGCGACUCUCUGGUCUGUAACUGACGCUGAGGCUCGAAAGCGUGGGUAGCAAACAGGAUUAGAUACCCUGGUAGUCCACGCCGUAAACGAUGAGUGCUAAGUGUUGGAGGGUUUCCGCCCUUCAGUGCUGCAGUUAACGCAUUAAGCACUCCGCCUGGGGAGUACGACCGCAAGGUUG
rnacentral:rRNA from 1 species